UCUAUCAUGAUGUUAAUUCAGUAUAGUUCAUUAGAAACAAACAUGUUACAAGAUUUUGAAUCUGAU
rnacentral:snoRNA from 1 species